rnacentral:snRNA from 1 species
GGAUGUGAGGGCGAUCUGGCUGUGACAUCUGUCACCCCACUGAUCACUAGGGUUGAUUCAGCUGAUCUGGCUGGCUAGGCGGGUGUCCCCUUCCUCCCUCAAUGAUCCAUGUGCAUCCCUCCUGAAGCUGUGCACUCGGUCGAAGAGGACAACCACCCCCAAUAGAGGAGGACCAUUCCUUGGUCAAGGGUAUAGGAGUAGCUGCGCUCCCCUGCUAGAACCUCCAAAUAAACUCUCAAGAAAAGCAUACAGUAUAAAGUGAAGUACGUUUUUCAAUAGUUCUAAACUUCAGGGUUUGAGGUUCUUUGAAAUAUAUUU